GAUGAACGCUAGCGGCAGGCCUAACACAUGCAAGUCGAGGGGUAACAGGAGAGCUUGCUCUCGCUGACGACCGGCGCACGGGUGCGUAACGCGUAUGCAACCCUACCUUCUACAGGAGGAUAGCCCUAAGAAAUUGGGAUUAAUACUCCAUAAUAUUAUUGGAUCGCAUGAUUUGAUAAUUAAAGUUCCGGCGGUAGAAGAUGGGCAUGCGUGACAUUAGCUAGUUGGUAAGGUAACGGCUUACCAAGGCAACGAUGUCUAGGGGUUCUAAAAGGAUGAUCCCCCACACUGGUACUGAGACACGGACCAG
rnacentral:rRNA from 1 species